AGUCGCGUGGUCUAAUGGUUAUGAUUUCUCGUUCACAGUCAAUUGUGAGCAUCUUCUGGAUUCCGAGAAGGUUCCCGGUUCGAUCCCGGGCGCGACUA
rnacentral:tRNA from 1 species